UACAGAGGUGGCAAGCGUUGUUCGGAAUUACUGGGCGUAAAGGGCGCGUAGGCGGCCGCCUAAGUCAGACGUGAAAUCCCCAAGCUUAACUUGGGAACUGCGUCUGAUACUGGGUGGCUUGAGUUCGGGAGAGGAAUGCAGAAUUCCAGGUGUAGCGGUGAAAUGCGUAGAUAUCUGGAGGAACACCGGUGGCGAAGGCGGCAUCCUGGACCGGUAUUGACGCUGAGGCGCGAAAGCCAGGGGAGCAAACGGG
rnacentral:rRNA from 1 species